rnacentral:sRNA from 1 species
UUUAACGCUGCGUUAGGCUUUCGCGUCUAUGAAUCUGGGUGUCCGGAAUGAUCCGGACGAGUGGCUCCUGUCCACUCUGUUUGACGCCUCCCUGUAAUUCAACCUUCAGGCCGCCUCUCGGGGCGGCCUUUUUU